rnacentral:rRNA from 1 species
AUUGAACGCUGGCGGCAGGCUUAACACAUGCAAGUCGAGCGGAGAGAGGUAGCUUGCUACUGAUCUUAGCGGCGGACGGGUGAGUAAUGCUUAGGAAUCUGCCUAUUAGUGGGGGACAACAUUUCGAAAGGAAUGCUAAUACCGCAUACGUCCUACGGGAGAAAGCAGGGGAUCUUCGGACCUUGCGCUAAUAGAUGAGCCUAAGUCGGAUUAGCUAGUUGGUGGGGUAAAGGCCUACCAAGGCGACGAUCUGUAGCGGGUCUGAGAGGAUGAUCCGCCACACUGGGAAUGAGGCAAGGCCCAGACUCCCACGGGAGGCAGCAGUGGGGAAUAUUGGACAAUGGGCGCAAGCCUGAUCCAGCCAUGCCGCGUGUGUGAAGAAGGCCUUAUGGUUGUAAAGCACUUUAAGCGAGGAGGAGGCUACUUUAGUUAAUACCUAGAGAUAGUGGACGUUACUCGCAGAAUAAGCACCGGCUAACUCUGUGCCAGCAGCCGCGGUAACAC